rnacentral:rRNA from 6 species
AGAGUUUGAUCAUGGCUCAGAUUGAACGCUGGCGGCAGGCCUAACACAUGCAAGUCGAACGGUAACAGGAAGCAGCUUGCUGCUUUGCUGACGAGUGGCGGACGGGUGAGUAAUGUCUGGGAAACUGCCUGAUGGAGGGGGAUAACUACUGGAAACGGUGGCUAAUACCGCAUAACGUCGCAAGACCAAAGAGGGGGACCUUCGGGCCUCUUGCCAUCAGAUGUGCCCAGAUGGGAUUAGCUUGUUGGUGAGGUAACGGCUCACCAAGGCGACGAUCCCUAGCUGGUCUGAGAGGAUGACCAGCCACACUGGAACUGAGACACGGUCCAGACUCCUACGGGAGGCAGCAGUGGGGAAUAUUGCACAAUGGGCGCAAGCCUGAUGCAGCCAUGCCGCGUGUAUGAAGAAGGCCUUCGGGUUGUAAAGUACUUUCAGCGGGGAGGAAGGUGUUGUGGUUAAUAACCGCAGCAAUUGACGUUACCCGCAGAAGAAGCACCGGCUAACUCCGUGCCAGCAGCCGCGGUAAUACGGAGGGUGCAAGCGUUAAUCGGAAUUACUGGGCGUAAAGCGCACGCAGGCGGUCUGUCAAGUCGGAUGUGAAAUCCCCGGGCUCAACCUGGGAACUGCAUUCGAAACUGGCAGGCUUGAGUCUUGUAGAGGGGGGUAGAAUUCCAGGUGUAGCGGUGAAAUGCGUAGAGAUCUGGAGGAAUACCGGUGGCGAAGGCGGCCCCCUGGACAAAGACUGACGCUCAGGUGCGAAAGCGUGGGGAGCAAACAGGAUUAGAUACCCUGGUAGUCCACGCCGUAAACGAUGUCUACUUGGAGGUUGUGCCCUUGAGGCGUGGCUUCCGGAGCUAACGCGUUAAGUAGACCGCCUGGGGAGUACGGCCGCAAGGUUAAAACUCAAAUGAAUUGACGGGGGCCCGCACAAGCGGUGGAGCAUGUGGUUUAAUUCGAUGCAACGCGAAGAACCUUACCUGGUCUUGACAUCCACGGAAGAAUUCAGAGAUGGAUUUGUGCCUUCGGGAACCGUGAGACAGGUGCUGCAUGGCUGUCGUCAGCUCGUGUUGUGAAAUGUUGGGUUAAGUCCCGCAACGAGCGCAACCCUUAUCCUUUGUUGCCAGCGGUCCGGCCGGGAACUCAAAGGAGACUGCCAGUGAUAAACUGGAGGAAGGUGGGGAUGACGUCAAGUCAUCAUGGCCCUUACGACCAGGGCUACACACGUGCUACAAUGGCGCAUACAAAGAGAAGCGACCUCGCGAGAGCAAGCGGACCUCAUAAAGUGCGUCGUAGUCCGGAUUGGAGUCUGCAACUCGACUCCAUGAAGUCGGAAUCGCUAGUAAUCGUGGAUCAGAAUGCCACGGUGAAUACGUUCCCGGGCCUUGUACACACCGCCCGUCACACCAUGGGAGUGGGUUGCAAAAGAAGUAGGUAGCUUAACCUUCGGGAGGGCGCUUACCACUUUGUGAUUCAUGACUGGGGUGAAGUCGUAACAAGGUAACCGUAGGGGAACCUGCGGUUGGAUCACCU